GAUGAACGCUGGCGGCGUGCCUAAUACAUGCAAGUCGAGCGAACAGACGAGGCUCUUGCUCCUCUUACGUUAGCGGCGGACGGGUGAGUAACACGUGGCUAACCUACCUAUAAGACUGGGAUAACUUGGGGAAACCGGAUCUAAUACCGGUUAUUAUAUUGAACCUCAUGGUUCAAUAGUGAUAGACGUUUUUGCUGUCACUUAUAGAUGUAUCCUCGCCGCUUUAGCUAGUUGGUAAGGUAACGGCUUACCAAGGCAACGAUGCGUAGCCGACCUGAGAGGGUGAUCGGCCACACUGGAACUGAGACACGGUCCAGACUCCUACGGGAGGAAGAAGUAGGGAAAUUUCAGAAAUGGGGGAAAGCCGGACGGAGCAAGGCCGGGGGAGGGAUGAAGGCCUUCGGAUCGUAAAAAUCUGUUAUUAGGGAAGAACAAAGGUGGAAGUAACCAUGCACGUCUGGACGGUACAUAAGAAGAAAGACACGGCUAACUACGUG
rnacentral:rRNA from 1 species